UCCGGUAGUUCAGCUGGUUAGAAUGCCGCCCUGUCACGGCGGAGGUCGCGGGUUCGAGUCC
rnacentral:tRNA from 1 species